UACGUAGGGUGCAAGCGUUGUCCGGAAUUAUUGGGCGUAAAGAGCUCGUAGGCGGUCUGUCGCGUCUGCUGUGAAAACUCAGGGCUUAACCCUGAGCUUGCAGUGGGUACGGGCAGACUAGAGUGCGGUAGGGGAGACUGGAAUUCCUGGUGUAGCGGUGAAAUGCGCAGAUAUCAGGAGGAACACCAAUAGCGAAGGCAGCUCGCUGGGACGGUACUGACGCUAAGGCGCGAAAGCCAGGGGAGCAAACGGG
rnacentral:rRNA from 1 species